UACGGAGGGGGCUAGCGUUGUUCGGAAUUACUGGGCGUAAAGCGCACGUAGGCGGCUUUGUAAGUUAGAGGUGAAAGCCCAGGGCUCAACCCUGGAAUUGCCUUUAAGACUGCAUCGCUUGAAUCAUGGAGAGGUGAGUGGAAUUCCGAGUGUAGAGGUGAAAUUCGUAGAUAUUCGGAAGAACACCAGUGGCGAAGGCGACUCACUGGACAUGUAUUGACGCUGAGGUGCGAAAGCGUGGGGAGCAAACAGGAUUAGAAACCCCCGUAGACC
rnacentral:rRNA from 1 species